UGGCUGUCGUCAGCUCGUGUCGUGAGAUGUUGGGUUAAGUCCGUAACGAGCGCAACCCUUGUCCUUAGUUACCAGCACGGUUAUGGUGGGCACUCUAAGGAGACUGCCGGUGACAAACCGGAGGAAGGUGGGGAUGACGUCAAGUCAUCAUGGCCCUUACGGCCUGGGCUACACACGUGCUACAAUGGUCGGUACAAAGGGUUGCCAAGCCGCGAGGUGGAGCUAAUCCCAUAAAACCGAUCGUAGUCCGGAUCGCAGUCUGCAACUCGACUGCGUGAAGUCGGAAUCGCUAGUAAUCGUGAAUCAGAAUGUCACGGUGAGUACGUUCCCGGGCCUU
rnacentral:rRNA from 1 species